AGCCAGACUCCUACGGGAGGCAGCAGUGGGGAAUAUUGCACAAUGGGGGAAACCCUGAUGCAGCGACGCCGCGUGAGCGAUGAAGUAUUUCGGUAUGUAAAGCUCUAUCAGCAGGGAAGAAGAUGACGGUACCUGACUAAGAAGCCCCGGCUAACUACGUGCCAGCAGCCGCGGUAAUACGUAGGGGGCAAGCGUUAUCCGGAUUUACUGGGUGUAAAGGGAGCGUAGACGGCGAUGCAAGCCAGAUGUGAAAGCCCGGGGCUCAACCCCGGGACUGCAUUUGGAACUGUGUGGCUGGAGUGUCGGAGAGGCAGGCGGAAUUCCUAGUGUAGCGGUGAAAUGCGUAGAUAUUAGGAGGAACACCAGUGGCGAAGGCGGCCUGCUGGACGAUGACUGACGUUGAGGCUCGAAAGCGUGGGGAGCAAACAGGAUUAGAUACCCGAGUA
rnacentral:rRNA from 1 species